rnacentral:rRNA from 1 species
GACGAACGCUGGCGGCGUGCUUAACACAUGCAAGUCGAACGGAAAGGCCCUGCUUGCAGGGUACUCGAGUGGCGAACGGGUGAGUAACACGUGGGUGAUCUGCCCUGCACUUCGGGAUAAGCCUGGGAAACUGGGUCUAAUACCGGAUAGGAGCCAUUUUUAGUGUGAUGGUUGGAAAGUUUUUUCGGUGUAGGAUGAGCUCGCGGCCUAUCAGCUUGUUGGUGGGGUAAUGGCCUACCAAGGCGGCGACGGGUAGCCGGCCUGAGAGGGUGGACGGCCACAUUGGGACUGAGACACGGCCCAGACUCCUACGGGAGGCAGCAGUGGGGAAUAUUGCACAAUGGGCGCAAGCCUGAUGCAGCGACGCCGCGUGGGGGAUGACGGUCUUCGGGUUGUAAACUCCUUGCGCUAGGGACGAAGCUUUUUGUGACGGUACCUAGAUAAGAAGCACCGGCUAACUACGUG